ensembl:lncRNA
CGGCGAGAGUUGUGAAGCGAGUCGGUCACCGAAAACUUUGCACAAAGUGCGCCGUACAUGUCUUCGUGCGGCGUUUAGGUGGAUGCUGAGUGGAUCUGACACGGCUGGCCAAGUGGAAAUCAAUUUCAAAUUUCUGCUCCAAAUUUGGCCAAGUUCUGCCUGCCUGGUAUAGCCCCAUGUUAGAGAGAAGGAGGGGUGUUCUUUGUCCCAAAGAGUGCAAACUGCAGGAGGAGUUUCUGUUACUGGAUCUUGCACUUGGCUGUAUAGCACAGUUUGAAUUUCCAGCACAGCUCCACAUCAUUAUUAAACAUUUGCUUGAACUUAUAUAGUCUAAAGUAUGUCCUGAGUUCUUCAAAAUUCUCUUGGCAUCAGCGAGGUAUUUGUGACUAAAGAAAUAAUCUGCUUGAAACCUGGAUUUUUACUGUGUACAGUUGGGUGAUGCGUCAUCCUUUUGUACUCUUGUGACAUCCUUUUUCUUUUUUUCUGCGACCACCCCCCGCCCUGCACAACAGAGGAGGGGAUUCCUUCUCUCCUUGGUCUACUCUUUGUGCUGUUGGAAUGCUAAAGAUCCAAUGUUAAACCUCCCUGGGCAGUAUUUAGCAGAGUAUUUUAGAGGCUCAGGAGGAUAAGUGGCAUUUCAGGUCUGUUUGAAUGUAGAUCUCGUUUUAUGUUCAAACUUC